GAGGAAAGCAGAAAAUUUGUUGUUUAAAAAAAUCAAAAACAACAAAUCGGUGAAAACGAGCAGACUCUCUUGUAAAGAUACGCGUAUCGCUGUUUCUAAUUAUUAAAAUCAGUCUCCAUCCUUCUAAAAAAAACGAAGUUAUUAUGAAAAGAGACAAAUGUGUAUUAAAUAAAGUGCAAAUAAUAUAUAAUUAAAAUAAGAAAGAUCACACUUGAGGCGGUGGUUUGCUCGAGUGCAAGUGUACGUGGAAAAUAUAUACACAGCAGAUAAUUGCAAGUGGAGUUUUUGGUGUGUUUUCGAAUUUGGGCAGUGCAAGUGUGAACAAAAUUUGCUCUAAAUAAGUAUUUCUUCCAUUUACAUCAAAAAGUGAUUUUAUUAUGAAAAUUGUUAUAUGUAUGAAUGGUUUUCUCCAAUAGGGAGCGGUGCAAGUGAAUACAGAAAAACAAACAAAAAAUAUCAAAAAAAAAAAAAAAGAAAAUAAGAAAAGUCAAAGCAAAUCGAAGAAGAAGCAGCAUCACUGUUGGAAAAAAUCAUUUUAGCUAAUUUCUCUUUAUUAAAUCUUAUUGGCAAAAAGAUAUUACAUACUUAUUGGAUUUGCAAGCUUACUUGUAUACAUACAUAUAAAUUAACAUGAACAUUUGCCAGACAGUGUAGGUGAAUCAGUGCGUGAGGAAUUUCUAUUACCUGUUAAAAACGAUUAAUGGUGUUGGCUGCCUGCUGAGGAGGUAUCGAAUUUCGUGCUGAAUACUGCAAUGGCAAUAACAACAACAACAACUCCAACGAAAACUCAAAAGCCCAACUGAAAAAAAUAACUUCAACAAAAACUGUUUAUGCCAACAGACAACCAUCGGGUUUAUGACUAAUCAAUUUCUACUGGUUUCUGUGUUACCGCAACCUGUUGGUACACAUGUGCAGAACUGCUUAAUGUCUCAAAAGACAUUACUCCAUGUCACUGAAUUAUAAUUUGUCAUCGUCAAUUUAAAAAGGAAAAGUCAGCAAAACGGCGUCCCAAGACGACUCCGUACUUGUACAGCAGCUGCACACUUUGGUGUAUUUGUUGUGGCGAAGCUCGAGAGUGACAACUUGCGUCAAAGGCCUACAACGGCAGCGAGUCUACGACCAUUCAAUUUUCCCUGCAUUACUAGGGAGUGCGUCAACAACAGCAGCAGUAGCAACAACAACAACAACGGAGUCUUCAGUAGUUAAGACAUCGUCAAUGCCAUUUAAAUGCAAAAAUAACAACAACAGCUGUGACAAUCAUCAAAUACGCUAAUCAUCAUUUGCCAGCGUCAGCGCUUGCGAAGCGUAAGGAAGUCAUUAGGCGAACUUAAGUGCUUGCAACUACAUUCAAAAAGACGUAUAUACUUUCGCUGAACGCCAACAACAGUACAGUUUAGUGUAGCAAACUCAAUCUUCCGCAUAUUUCAUCUUCCUCCAACACCACUGCGUAUUUUCUCAAGCAUCAACGAGAUUGUCCAGCAUCAACAGCGGCGGCGGCAGCAGUAGGCAACAGUGUGGCGGCGGCAAUGACUCUUACCACUGCUACACAACCGGAGAGUAGCAAAAAAAUGGAUGGGAAAUGUGGUGCCGCUGAAGAGAAUUUGCCAUCAUCCGAAAUGGAUCUGUUAGCCAAAUUGGAGGCGGCUAACAAGCUCAUCGAGAGCGAUGCGAAAAGUUUAAAUUCAUUACAUUCGACACAUAGUCGCAAAAAUUCGGACACCAGUCAAAUUAGUCUCACUUCAACUGGCAACUCGAAUGCUGAGGAAGACAUUUGGACGCAGUGGGCUACGAUAUUGGCCGAUUGGGAGGGCGCACUGAAGCGUAAAAAUCCAUGUGUACGUGAUUUGGUGCGUCGUGGUAUACCCCAUCACUUCCGCGCCAUUGUUUGGCAACAACUGUGUGGCGCCUCUGAUACCGAUAAAAAACAAUAUGCCGACUACAUUAAAGCCACUUCGGCUUGCGAAAAAGUUAUCCGACGGGAUAUUGCACGAACUUAUCCAGAGGUGGAUUUCUUCAAAGAAAAGGAUGGUCCUGGCCAAGAGGCCUUAUUCAAUGUGAUCAAGGCAUAUUCGUUGCAUGAUCGUGAAGUGGGCUACUGUCAGGGAUCCGGUUUCAUUGUGGGCUUGCUGCUAAUGCAGAUGCCCGAGGAGGAAGCCUUCGCUGUACUCGUACAAAUAAUGCAGCAACAUCGCAUGCGCGACAUGUUCAAACCGUCAAUGUCGGAGUUGGGUCUCUGCAUGUAUCAAUUGGAAAGUUUGGUGCAAGAGCAGAUACCCGAAAUGCAUAUACACUUCCAACAGCAGGGUUUCCAAACAACUAUGUACGCUUCCAGUUGGUUCCUUACACUUUAUACCACCACACUGAAUCUCAAUUUAAGUUGUCGCAUAAUGGAUGUAUUCCUUAGCGAAGGCAUGGAGUUUAUAUUCAAAGUGGCACUGGCGUUGCUUCUGCUUGGCAAAGAGACACUAUUGUGUCUGGAUAUGGAGGCCAUGCUAAAGUUCUUCCAAAAAGAGCUACCCGGUCGUGUUGAAGCCGAUCCCGAGGCAUUUUUCAAUUUAGCCUAUUCCAUCAAAAUCAAUACGAAACGUAUGAAGAAAAUGGAAAAGGAGUAUCAAGACUUAAAGAAGAAAGAACAAGAGGAAAUGGUCGAGCUGCGUCGUUUGCGACGAGAAAAUCGCUUACUGAAACAACGCAACGAGCUCUUGGAGGCUGAAAGUGCUGAAUUGGCCGACCGUUUGGUGCGUGGGCAGGUUUCACGUGCUGAAGAGGAAGAAACUAGUUAUGCAAUACAAACAGAGCUGAUGCAAUUGCGCCGCUCAUAUCUCGAAGUGUCACAUCAGUUGGAAAAUGCCAAUGAAGAAGUGCGUGGCUUAAGUUUGCGUUUGCAGGAAAAUAACAAUUCACGUCAAUCAUCCAUUGAUGAAUUGUGCAUGAAAGAAGAGGCACUAAAGCAACGCGAUGAAAUGGUCUCAUGUCUACUCGAAGAGCUGGUCAAAGUACGUCAAAGUCUUGCCGAGAGCGAAGAUCAAAUACGUAAUUUGAAAUCGAAAAUCGAAGAAUUGGAAGAGGAUAAAAAGACAUUACGUGAAACUACGCCCGAUAAUUCGGUGGCACAUUUACAAGAUGAGCUUAUCGCGAGUAAACUACGCGAAGCCGAGGCUAGUCUGUCGUUGAAGGAUCUCAAACAGCGUGUGCAGGAAUUGAGCACACAAUGGCAACGUCAAUUGCAGGAAAAUAGAAAUGAUCACAGUCAACAGCCCGUUGAUUCGACACCAAAGAAGUUGCUAACAAAUUUCUUUGAUACCUCCAAAUCGAAUGAGCAUACACAACGUUUGGAGGAGGACCUAAUGACCACGCGUAUACGUGAAAUGGAGACGUUGACUGAGUUGAAGGAGCUGCGCUUGAAGGUCAUGGAGUUGGAAACACAAGUGCAGGUGUCCACAAAUCAGCUACGCCGUCAGGAUGAGGAGAAUAAGAAAUUACGCGAGCAGCUUGAGCAGGCUGUUAAUCGCGAAAAGGAAAUGGCCAACAAGGCGCGUGAGCAGCAGCAUAGAUACUCCGAUCUGGAAUCUCGCAUGAAGGAUGAAUUGAUGAAUGUAAAGAUUAAAUUUACUGAACAAAGUCAGACUGUUGCGGAAUUGAAGCAAGAAAUUUCCCGAUUGGAAACGAAGAACUCCGAAAUCUUAGCCGAGGGAGAAUUACGUUCCAAUCUGGAUGAAUCUGACAAGGUGCGUGAUUUACAGGAUCGGUUGGCUGAUCUGAAAGCAGAGUAUCCCACGCCAAUAACAAGCCCCGAUACUGAACCAUGGAAGUGGAUAAGCUAAAUAAACAAAGAAUGAAAAAUGAAAAACAAAAAAAAAAAUUAAAAACAAAGCAAAUAAAAUCAGGUCAUUACUAACAAAAACAACCAACCAAUGAAGUUAAUUCACAUAUUUGCUCAUUAUACGAAAAGUAUUACUCAAGUUAGUGCUGCAGUACUAAUCACAAAAAAACGCAUUAUAGUUCUACAAAAACAGAAAAUCAAAAAAAAAAUCAUUUUUCGCAAAACCAAAAAAAAAGAAGAGUUUUACGAAAAAAUUGCGCUCUGCUAACCGCCAUACAAAGUCGUGGCAAAUAUCCAAUUAAUAAACUGCGUAGCGCCUCCAUACAGUC
rnacentral:misc_RNA from 1 species